AGGGAGCUGUGGAGAGUUCAGUAUGCUUUGAGCCGUAUCAGGAAUGCUGCAAGAAUGCUUCUGACCUUGGAUGAGAAAGACCCACGUCGUAUUUUUGAAGGUGAAGCACUCUUGAGGAGGAUGAACAGAUAUGGGUUAUUGGAUGAGAGCCAAAACAAGCUCGAUUAUGUCUUGUCUCUCACUGUGGAGAACUUUCUUGAGCGUCGUCUCCAAACCCUUGUCUUCAAGACUGGCAUGGCUAAGUCUAUCCACCAUGCUAGAGUGCUCAUUAGACAAAGGCAUAUCAGGUAAUAACAUAUUACAGUUUUAGUGACACAGUUCAAAUAAAUAACCUCAAGUCUAUUUUUUCUUUUUUGGUACUUUCUUUGAUUGUAAAAGUACAUAGCAGGAAUUCUUGUAGCGAAGAAAAAUUUGCUACAAUGAUAAAGCAAUAUAUGGCUUUUUAAUGUUAUUAGGCAAACAAUUUACUGUUUUAUAAGAAAUGUUACAAGUUUCAGUCAAUGACGUGACUUUCUUUUUACUAAAGAGGUUUAACAUAUAUUUUAUGUUUGAGGUAGCAUAAUAUAUUUUAUAGACUGUGAAAUUACUAAUAUGAGCUUAUGAUAUAAAGGGGGAUGGUUGUCGUACAUUUAGGGCUAGCAAAAAUAUUCGAAUAAUCAAAUAAUCAUGAAUCCUUGCGCUCAUAUAUAAUUGAUGUGUUAUUUGAGGAAAAAGAUAAGUCAUAUUUGGGUUCUACUUCCAUUUGAAAGGCCUCCCUGAGUUCUUUACUUUCAUUUUCGAGUCCUCUGCCUAAUGCACCAAUUUAUUUCAAGAUGUGCUUCUGUACCAAAAAGUUUCAGAGCAUCUUUUAAGGCUGAGUAAGAUCCCUGAACUAUAACAAUAGUUUCUAGUCUGAUCCUGCUGAACGGGAUCAGACUGCAUCUUGUGAAGAUUGUUUUAGCACUGUCGAUUUUAUAUUUAAGGAAAUGAAGGAAAAAUAUUGUCUCAUUUAUUGCCAUUGUUUCUACAGUGGUAAUAGAUUAAAAUUAUUUUUUCUUUAUUUAGUACUUCUGUGCACAUUCACUCUAGGCUAGUUAUCACUUUAUUAGUAUGUAUCUAAUGUUGUUGUCUUGCAGAGUUGGUAGGCAGGUGGUGAAUGUUCCUUCUUUUAUGGUAAGACUGGACUCCCAGAAGCACAUUGACUUCUCUCUCAUCAGUCCUUUCGGUGGUGGGCGCCCUGGAAGAGUGAAGAGAAAGAACCAAAAGGCUGCUGCAAAGAAGGCAUCUGGUGGCGAUGGAGAUGAGGAAGAUGAAGAAUGAGCUCUUAUCUUUUCUUGUGUUUGGAUUUAAUAUUUAUACUUGCCUAUUUAGUACUUGUUUUAUGUUUUGCUACUUUUAUGUACUGUCGUGUGUUAGAAAUGU
rnacentral:lncRNA from 1 species